GACGAACGCUGGCGGCGUGCUUAACACAUGCAAGUCGAACGGAAAUGUAUUUGUAGUAAUACAAAUAUAUUUUAGUGGCGGACGGGUGAGUAACACGUGGGUAACCUGCCCUAUGGAGGGGGAUAACACAGAGAAAUCUGUGCUAAUACCGCAUAACGUGCAAUGGUCACAUGGCCGAUGCAUCAAAGAUUUAUUGCCAUAGGAUGGACCCGCGGCCCAUUAGCUAGUUGGUGAGGUAACGGCCCACCAAGGCGACGAUGGGUAGCCGAUCUGAGAGGAUGAACGGCCACAUUGGAACUGAGACACGGUCCAGACUCCUACGGGAGGCAGCAGUGGGGAAUAUUGCACAAUGGGGGAAACCCUGAUGCAGCAACGCCGCGUGAGUGAUGAAGGCCUUCGGGUUGUAAAGCUUUGUCUUAGCUGACGAUAAUGACGGUAAGCUAGGAGGAAGCCACGGCUAACUACGUGCCAGCAGCCGCGGUAAUACGUAGGUGGCGAGCGUUGUCCGGAAU
rnacentral:rRNA from 1 species